rnacentral:sRNA from 1 species
GUAAUUGACGAAGCCCUUUGUGGGGGCUAUCCCAUGAUGCUCUGCCUGCCACAGGCUUCCUUAGCCUGCCUCAGUAUCCAUCUUGCUAUCCUGGGGGCCUCAUCACAGUUGCGGACUACAAAAUACUGGAUCCGAAUUGACAGCACACCGGCAGCCCAGCAGCUCCGUCUUCUUCCCCACGUGUGGCUGUCGAUUGGCGGUUUUUUUCUCCCUAAUUACCCAUCUGCUAGAGAGGAAAGUAACACCACAUCAUUUAGAAGAAAUGCACCUGUUUAUCGAAAGGCAAGAAUAACCUAGUUUGCAAGGAUCCUUGGCUCUCCAACUUGCCUCCACAGACUCAAUAUCACUGCUGUUUUUCCAGGUGAUCAAAUGACUCUGACUCCAGACUUUCCAAAUCCGUCGUUCAACCUUCAUCUAUCAUUCCCUGCACGUGCUUUACAGCACGAGAGAGGGUUAUAUCACUGAGCAGGCCAGUUCUUCCUUUGAAGUUCUGAGUGUGAACCAGAGCCAUCUUUGUAUUUACUUAGAGAACCGAGGGAGGCCGAAACCCACAGAAGCUGGAGAAACUUUUGAUAUGCGCUGUCAUCAGGAAAGAAACUCUUUCAGGUCUGGUUCCACCACAUCCUGCAAAGUUCAAAACGACAUCGUGCGAAGUUCAAAACGAAUUCUACUUCAGUCUUAUCUCUAGCCUAAGAUACGUAAUUGUAAUUCAUCAAAAAAUAUCAACGGAGUUCUUGAUUGCCAGAAAGCCGUGACUCCUCUGCUGGGGAAGUGUAGGAAUUUUUGCACUUUGCAUCCUACUGAAAUUCUAAGCAGCUUUUGCUGCCACCGUUAAGUGAGGGUCACUUCCUACCUGGAGAACCAGAAAGAUUGGAAACGUCUUGAGGCAGCCGUAAGUUUCUUCGGUCAGCUAUCGUAGCAUGGGAAACAGAGUCCUCCAGCCUUCUCUUAAUGGAUAUGUGCUUCCUUUAAGAAUUAUUUUUUGUCUUGAUGUAGGUGUGUAUGUCUGCAUGGUAGGUGUGUUCAGGUGGCCACGGAAGUGAGAAGGCGGCACUGGUCCCCUGGAACUCUAACAGCUGUGAGCUGCUGUGUGACUACAGGAAUAGAACCUAGUUCUUCCGCUAGGAAGCCAGCGCUCUUAACUACUGAGCCAUCUCUGCAGCCACAUGUGUAUAUGUUUUAAUGACCAUGUGUUCAUGCUAAAACAUGCUACUGAUCAUGUUGUAACAUGCUAUUUAUACUACCACUGAGCCAUCUCUGCAGCCACAUAUGUAUAUGUUUCAAUGACCAUGUGUUCAUGCUAAAACAUGGUACAGAUCAUGUUGUAACAUGCUAUUUAUGCUACCACGCACUCUAAAUUUUAUUAACAUUUUUGGCAAGUACUUUUGUCAAUAAUGGUAUUUUUGUUUGGUUGAUUACUGGCUGAUGACUUAAUUAUCUAGUUAGAAUUAUGUAUUAUGAGGCUGGAGAGCUAGCUCAUUAGUUAAGACAAUUAGCUUCUCUCCUAGAGGAUCCUAGCUCAGUUCCCGGCACCGAGACAACCUGUAUGUCUAGCUCUAGGGCUUUAAUGACCUCCUCUGGUCUCCUCUGACCUCUGUGGGCUCUGCAUCCAUGCAGUACACAGACACUCGAGAACAUUUCUAUACAUACAAUUUAAAAUAGAAUUCUUUUUAACUUUUAAUGUUUUCUAUUUUUCAACAUGGGGUAUAACAUUGUAGAAGUAGGUACUAUUUUUCCCCAGAGGAGGUACGUCCUUGCAGGGAAUAUUAGGUAUAUACUUAGAACCUUUGUGAAUGAAAAUCCAGUUGUUUGGCAAGACUAUUGAUAAGAAAGAAAUAGUUACAAACAAGACACAAAUGAGCUAAGAACACGAUUCUGUUAUUUCUGUUGGUUUGGUUAAUCUUCAAUUUAGUUAUAGGUCAAUGAAUGCAUUUUUUUCCUUAAGAUUUUGUGUUUCCUCUUCUGACUGAAGUGAGUAGUUGGGCCUUCCGAGUAGGAGUCUCACUUUCUCCCUUCGUCUGUGACCCGUGUCAUUGGUAUUCAGGCUUAUGUCUAGCAGGCUACCAGAGCCAACCUCCUGCCUGAGCAGUAGUGAGAGCAGACAUGUUGCUGGUGGCAGGACAGUGUUCCAGGCUUUCUAAUUAAGUGUAGCAUUACAGAUGUUUUAACUGCCUGUUAGCAAGUUGAGCAUUUUCAAUUUCCUCAGAUUUCCUAACCGCUUUUAUUAGAAAUAACUGUUAAACAUUACCAAAUUCUUUUUGUGCUUGGCUAUAGCCACAUAUACUCUUUUUCAUAGUCUGCUUAUCGUGAAUUCCAUCCAUUAACUCUUUAACAUUAUGACACUUAUGAUGCACAUAUGUAUCUAUAUGUAUCUUAUUUCGCAAAUUGCCUAAGUGUUUGUAUAGAAUUUUAUGUCUGAGCAUAUUGUUUAUAUACAAUUUCAUAUCUGAACACCUUUUUCAUCACAUGGAAAAACAGAAUUAUUAUGAAUAUUGAUUUUUAAAAAAGCCAUGAAGAUAAAAUGUCAAAAAAAAAACCAAGAAAGCUCCAGUGUGACUGCUCCUGUGGUGAGGCUCUCGGAGAGGCAGAGUCCUCCCAGCAGGACCAUAUUUUCUAAGACAGAAAUUUGUGUUGUGGUAAAAAUAAAAUCAUCAAGUAGUUAGGCAUAUGUGCUGUGGACAUUCAUGAAUGAUUAAAUUAGAAAAUAUGACAGUCCCUGCUAUUUAAUGGGAACUGAAUAUAAUUGGAAAGAAAACCACAUUCUUUAGUCAUUGUAUCAACUGAUAUUUUGUUUACCAAAUGGCUUUGGCGAGAAUAUGCUCUAAUACUGACAUUUGUUACCCUCCACGGCUCUUGCAUAGGGAGAAAUGCUUGUGGAAUUUCUUUUUUUUUUACUGGCUGGGGGAAAGGCUACCUACUGCAGUCUUAAAAAUGACCAAGUUCUUUCAGAAAAAAAGAAUUUAGGUAUAAAUUGGCACUGAAUUUUAAAAUGUUCCUGGGAUAUAAAACAUUUUCAUAAAAAUGAAUAACUGUGUUAGGAACCUCAGGAUUUAAUUAAAAUGUCCUGAAUUACAACUGUCUUCACUGGCCAUAAAUAUCUACAACCCUCACCACCCCCCUUCUGCAAUAUCUGGCUAUCUCUCUGUCCUAUUUCGUCUCCUGAAUUUAAAUGUUCAUUGUACUUCUUGGAAAUCAGAGUAACACAUAUUUAUCAGAUACGUGUUGGGCUUAGUUGUUGGGGCAUUUGCGUACGUGAUGGCAUGGACGCCCAAGCACACGAGAAUAAGCUCUGUAGCAUAGUCUCAUAUGCCUGUCGCUGUCUAUGCUACCGCCAUAUGCUGUUCCCCUCAGAUUUGCUGAACAUUCCUCUGCACACACAGGGCCAUUUCAGGAAGCCUGCUGCAGACUGUUUUGAGCCAUGUCCACUGACAUUAGUGCUACUUUGAGAGCUGCCCCCGAGGUACUGCCUAGAAAUUUCAGAGACCCUCCUUUCUGCCAGAACAAUUUCAUCGAGAUGAAAUCGAAAUCUGGCUUGAUACUGAGAAGGACAUUUGCGCUUAAUGCCCGUGGAAAAUUCUGUGUUCGCGCACCUAACGGAGCAUAAGAGUUUAUUUUCCGAUCAGCUGCAGAAGUGACAUGGCACUGCCAGCCAAGAUCAGCAGAGACGUGACAUUUACGGGUGGACUGGGAGCAUCUGACAAGGUGGCGCACACCUGCAAUCUCAGAACCUUGGAGGAGGAAGCAACUACAUCCCUGAGAGUCGGUGGACAGUCUGAUCUCCGGGCCAAAUUAGCUUCCCACAUGCUUUUUGCUUGGGAACUGAAACCAGUUUUUCUAAUUAAUGAUUAAUUAAUUUUGUGCUGUGAAGGAUUAGAUACAAGGUCUCAGACUACCACAAAAGCAUUCUACUGCUGGUCUAUAUCCUCUGCCCUUGAUUAUUUUUUAUUUUAAAACAUUUAUUUACUUUAUUGUGUGUGUAUGUGUUGGCCUGCAUGUAUGUAUAGCAUUGAACUUGUUUCUUCCUCAGCCAUCCCAAGUACUGGGUAUACAGACAUGUACCGUCAUGAACAUGUUUUUUAAUGUUAUGAACCCUUCUGUGUACACUUGAUAAAGGCUUGGCAUAGGAGGGAGAAGAGGAGGAAAACCAGUAGUUUUAAGGACAGACAUGUGGGCAUGGGAUGGUUCAGUUCACUCAUGAGAUGCCAUCUUGUGGAUAUGGCAUGGUCAUGAACUCACAGUAGCUGUUAUUUCUGCACAAGAUAUCAACAAGUCCAAGCUGUUCAGAAUUUCAACAUGGAUGUGGUGGGGCAUGAUCCCUGCCCUUGUCAGAGAAGCUAUUAGCAUGGGUAGCCAUGUGGGAAGGAAAAUCAGUCUUCUCUGAAAGUAUGGGCACUGGUACUUUGCCGGUGCUCCAGAGGAUGGGCUCACACCCGUGUACACACGAGCAUCACUAAUUGAGUUUAUGAGUUUUUAACAAAAAAAAAAAAAAAGAAAAAAGAAAAAAGAGGACAUGAAGUUGGA